AUCAAUUAAGUAGCAUCACAACAAAAAAUCUGUGUGAAGAUACAAGAUGUCUUACAAGUUAGCCAUUUGUCUAGUUGCCAUUUGUGCCAUUGCUUUCGUCCAUGGAUCAGAUGAAGAUGCCCUCCAGGAUUUCUGUGUCCGCGACAAAAACAGCAACACCAUCGUCAAUGGAUUCACUUGCAAGCCUGCUGCGGCAACUCUAGCCAGUGAUUUCAUGUUCCAUGGACUCCGGAACCCCGGGAACACCAACAACAAGCUCGGAUCCAUAGUCACCAAUGCAAAUGUUGGCGUAUUCCCGGGAAUCAACACUCUUGGCGUCUCUUUUGCGAGGAUUGAUUAUGCUCCAUACGGUGUCAAUCCCCCUCACGUCCACCCACGAGGAACCGAGCUCCUCUUCCUCCAGCAAGGAACUCUCUAUGUUGGAUUCGUGAGCACCACCAACAACACACUCUUCGCUCAAACUUUGCAUCCAGGAGAUCUCUUUGUGUUUCCGCGUGGUCUCAUUCACUUCCAGCUCAACGUUGGGAAGACACCGGCUGUUGCUCUUGCAGGAUUCAACUCCCAGAAUCCCGGUGUCACUCAGGUAGCCAAAGCCGUGUUUGCAUCCAAUCCUCCCAUUUAUGACGCUGUCAUCGAGAGGGCGUUCCAGAUCAAUCCCAAGCUCAUCCAGCAGCUCAGGGACCUCAUCAAGCAAACUUAAUCAAUUUGCUUUUGUAAUGAUUCUUCUGUAAUUUUCAAGAAUAAGAUUGAAUAAAGAACUGUUCUUUACAAGCGGACCCGUACAACGAGCCAGCAACAGGUUUAAAUUAUUUAAUUGUUAUUUUAAAUAUUUAAAAUAAAACAGUAAUGCCUGCACUGUGCUGAAACUAAAUUUUAGGGCUCGUGUAGUGCUAGGGCUAAGGGCUCCAUGACAAUGCCGGGGAAUCCCAGCGCCAUGGCAGAGAUCUUACCUCACGAGUGUAUUAUCCACGACAUUAUAUUAGCAUUAAAGAAUUUCUCACGUUAAUUAUUACUAUUUUUUGUAUUAGUUUUGAAUAUUUUAAUUUUGAGAAUUGGUUUCUAUGGUUCUUUCAUUCUUGGUAAUGGUUUGAGACCACGACCCGAUCAAAUUGAAACAAUCCACACUAUGGUUUUGAUCAAGUCAGUGAAAUUGGCGUGUUAUCCUUCUUGUCCCCUUCAAUCUUUAUUCUUGACCAAGUCAGAUCUAGAGUGCUUGACAAUGCCAGUCAGUGACAACUACUAUAUAAACUCAACCAAACUCCACAUUUCACCUCAUUCCAUUCUUCGUCAAUCGAGUAGCAUCACAGCAAAAAAUAUCAAAAGCUUUGAUCAAUCAGCUGAACUCUUACUGCCAAGAUACAAGAUGUCUUACAAGUUAGCCAUUUGUCUAGUUGCCAUUUGUGCCAUUUCUUUCGUCCAUGGUUCAGAUGAAGAUGCCCUCCAGGAUUUCUGUGUCCGCGACAAAGACAGCAACACCAUCGUCAAUGGAUUCACUUGCAAGCCUGCUGCGGCCACUCUAGCCAGUGAUUUCAUGUUCCAGGGACUCAGGAACCCCGGGAACACCAACAACAAGCUCGGAUCCAUAGUCACCAAUGCAAAUGUUGGCGUAUUCCCGGGAAUCAACACUCUUGGAGUCUCUUUUGCGAGGAUUGAUUAUGCUCCAUACGGUGUCAAUCCCCCUCACGUCCACCCCCGAGGAACCGAGCUCCUCUUCCUCCAGCAAGGAACACUCUAUGUUGGAUUCGUGAGCACCACCAACAACACACUCUUCGCUCAAACUUUGCAUCCAGGGGAUCUCUUUGUGUUUCCGCGUGGUCUCAUUCACUUCCAGCUCAACGUUGGGGAGACACCGGCUGUUGCUCUUGCGGGAUUCAACUCCCAGAAUCCGGGUGUCACCCAGGUAGCCAAAGCAGUGUUUGCAUCCAAUCCUCCCAUUUAUGACGCUGUCAUCGAGAGGGCGUUCCAGAUCAAUCCCAAGCUCAUCCAGCAGCUCAGGGACCUCAUCAAGCAAACUUAAUCAGCUUGUUCUCGCAUUAAUUCUUUCAUAAAUUCCAAUAAUAUUCAAAUUUUGCCUGGCUUACCAAAAAGCAAGAAAGUUUUUGUCACGCUGCAAAUAUUACGACAAUAUCACGAGGCUUGUUAGUUCCUUCAUGGCUUGACCAAACUGAAACAAUCCACACUCUGGUUUUGAUCAAGCUAGUGAAAUUAACAUGUUUAUCCUCGUUCAAUCUUGAUUCUUAGUAAAAUGACCAAGCAAGAUCUGGUGUGCUCAAGGAAGGGGGCAUGAUGCUAAUCCCCUCGAAUGGCACGUAAGGCCCGCCAGCAAACACCGGAGUUCCAUAGCCAAAGUCGAGCUCGUAGAUUGGAAGCUGGGCCCAGCUCGUCACGCUCAAGUUUGGGCUCAGCACCGUUUUGCCACUCCUCGCGAUCUGGACGGGGUUCUUCUGCUGGAGCUCCACGAAGUCCAUCUGGGAGCGGAUGUACCCGUUGUCAAGCCGCUUGAUGGAACCCUGGAUGAGAUCCGUGGCGUAGGAUGCUGGUUUCUCCAGGAGAUCCUUCGCGGUGCUGUGGCUGCUGGCGUGGGAGAUGACGUUGCCGAAGUAGUCGUCGGGGAUGGGAGGAACGAGCCUCUUGUUGGUCGCGAUCAAAACUCGGGUUUGGACUUCACCAUCGAUGCCAUGGGCGCGAGUGAUGCACUUCCAGAGAUGACUCGUGAGGCUGACGAACGUAGAGGAUCCUCGGGCAUCGCCUUCUUUCGUCGCCGACUGCUUGAUCCUCUUGAGGAGAUCGAUGCUGAAGUGGAGCUUCUAUACCGAGAGUGGGGGAUUCUCGGGCUGAGGAGCGUCCGGCUUGGGCGGAGGACGCUUGUACUCUGGAUGCUCGAACUUUGGCUGCGGUGGAUGGUUGGCCAUGAGAAAAGAUUGGAGGAACGAUUGGAGUCUUCUUGACAAUGCUGGCCCAGGCAUUCAUGAAAGCGCUGGCACCUUCUCCAUCCGCGACUUGGUGCUUCCUUGCCACUCCCACAGUGAUUCCACCUCAAGUGAAUUUGGUUACCUGGAAAAAAGAAAACUCUGAAAACAUCCUUUUGGUGGAAACAAAGAAGCUUGCAAAUGAAGGAACGAAAGCAAUCAAUGUAGCCCACCAAGAAGAAGGAAAGAAGACAUCUAGCCUCAGAGCGAUGCAUGUGACAGUGAUUCAAUUUCCCAGCGAUGGCUGCUUGGAUUCUGCUCAAAACCUCCACGUCAAGGGUCUUCGAGCUUGACUACUCUACAAGGGCGUGUUAAAGCGUCAACACCAUCUUGACUCAUGGUCGCGUUCUCCCUUGUUCGUCCUCCUCGAGGAAUGCAAGAGAGAAUAGAGUUGGUAAAUCUCUGUGUAGAGAGAAAGAGAUGGAAGAGAAUGCUGCCGUACUGCUUCUUCGCCUUGCAAACAAUUUCCUUCUAUUCAUCUCUGGUGGAGUGUGACAUCUUCAACGAAGCCAACGUUUUAGUUAAGGACUAAUUCUUGGUCCAUGUCUUCUUGGUUCUUUCCUUUUGAUGGAUUGAAUGUAGCAUACCUUCAGUUCUUUUGAUAACGGCUUGACCACCACCGGAUCAACCUGAAUAAUGAUUUCGUCACCUUGAACCGGUGAAAUUAACGUGUUCUCCAUUGUCUCAGUAAAAUGACCAAGUCAGAUCUGGAGUGCUCACAACUCCUAUAUAAACUCCAGCGACCUCCACACUUCUCCCCACUCCAUUCUUUAUCAAUUCAGUAGCAUCACAACAAAAAAUCUGUGUGAAGAUACAAGAUGUCUUACAAGUUAGCCAUUUGUCUAGUUGCCAUUUGUGCCAUUGCUUUCGUCCAUGGAUCAGAUGAAGAUGCCCUCCAGGAUUUCUGUGUCCGCGACGGAAACAGCAACACCAUCGUCAAUGGAUUCACUUGCAAACCUGCUGCGGCCACUCUAGCCAGUGAUUUCAUGUUCCAGGGACUCAGGAACCCCGGGAACACCAACAACAAGCUCGGAUCCAUAGUCAC
rnacentral:lncRNA from 1 species